GUGGGUAAUCUACCCCUCGCAGGGGGGCAACCGGGGGAAACCCCGGCUAAUACCCCGUACGCUCCGAGGGUCGCAUGGCCUUCGGAGGAAAGGUAGCUUCGGCCAUCCGGCGAGGGAUGAGCCCGCGGUACAUUAGCUAGUUGGUGGGGUAACGGCUCACCAAGGCUACGAUGUAUAGCUGGUCUGAGAGGAUGAUCAGCCACACUGGGACUGAGACACGGCCCAGACUCCUACGGGAGGCAGCAGUCGGGAAUCUUGCACAAUGGGCGAAAGCCUGAUGCAGCAACACCGUGUGAGCGAGGAAGGUCUUCGGAUCGUAAAGCUCUGUUGUUGGGGACGAAGGGCGAAGGGUUAAUAGCCCCUAGCCUGACGGUACCCUUCGAGGAAGCCCCGGCCAACUACGUGCCAGCAGCCGCGGUAAUACGUAGGGGGCGAGCGUUGUCCGGAAUUGUUGGGCGUAAAGAGCGUGUAGGCGGUCUGGUAAGUCUGCUGUGAAAACUUGGGGCUCAACCCUGAGCGUGCAGCGGAUACUGCCAGGCUAGAGGAUGGCAGAGGCGAGUGGAAUUCCCGGUGUAGCGGUGAAAUGCGCAGAUAUCGGGAGGAACACCAGUAGCGAAGGCGGCUCGCUGGGCCAUUCCUGACGCUGAGACGCGAAAGCGUGGGGAGCAAACAGGAUUAG
rnacentral:rRNA from 1 species